rnacentral:tRNA from 1 species
GCAGCUCCCUUGGUAGAGCAUGAGACCCUUAAUCUCAGGGUUGUGGGUUCGAGCCCCACACUGGGCA